GAUUAAAGAAGCAGUGGGUACCAAGGAAAGAGAAACUCAUUGGAUUGAGAGAACUAGGAGCAAAGUGUGGAAGGCUCAAAGAGGCAGAAUUCGGCUCUGGAUAAGGAAGAGGCUUCUGAACGUUUAGAGCUCUUCCAAGGCAAAACGAGUGGAAACUUUCCUUUGUCAGAAUAAUUUUAAAAUGAAGAAUAUUUCAGCAAAACCAAGUGAUUCAUCAACCUUGCCUGACAAAGUAUGCAGCAUUCCUCAAUCCCAGCUUUCCACAUGCCUGGUGAAAUGGGAGCUGCCUUGUUAUAUCAUGGAUUCUUCAUUCAACAAUUCAUUCUUAUGGAAAGUCCUUACAUGGAAGAUAGAAUGAGGGGACACAGACAUUUUCUUCAUAGCUGGCAAACUCUUUGAGUGGGAUGUGGACAGAGAGAAAUAAAAUGAACAGAG